CUUUGAGUUCAGGCAGCAUAGUCGCAUAGUUCCUAGAGUCAUGGGCUGGGGUGGGGACCAGCUUUAGAAGCCUUGGGAUUGGACGACGACAGACAGCAGAUCUGCAAUCAGAUCAUAGACUCCGCCUCCCAAAAGGAGAGGCUACAGAAGUCUGUCAGAGACUCUGUGAGCAUUUAAGAGCACUUUGUGGCACUUUGUGUGCAAUUCCUCUGCAGAGCGGCACUGACACCUCUCCGCUUCUUUCCGCAGCUCCUGCAACUAAACCUGUUGCUCAGGGUAUGGCAAAGAAAGCAGCCGACGAGCACAUGGCUCUGUGCUUCUCCGUUCUACUGAUUUGUCUGUGGUCAGUGUUGCCAAAUGAUGCUGCUUCUCUUUGCUACAUCUUCACUGUUGGCAAGUCAGGGUCUGGACCAUGGCGGCACAAAGUCCAAGGCCAACUGAACAAAGAGACUUUCCUUUCCUACAUCAGUAUUGACAACUGUCAUGUCUUUGGUGUUCUGGGGAGCAGACUGAAUGCCACAAAGAUCUGUGAAAAACAGAAUGACAUUCUGAACGAUGGAGUUAACCUGAUCAAGCAACAAGCAAGUCACAUAAAUAAUAUAAUCAGAGAGGCCCUCACUGUGCAGGCCGAGAUGUGUUGCUGGAAUGAAGAAGAUGGACAUUUGAAUGCAUCUUGGGACAUUGACCUCAAUGGACACAAAAUACUGCACUUUGACUCAAGCACUGGGAAACUGACUGAAGUCGGUCCUGGAUCCAGCAGGAUUAAAGAGCUGUUGAAGGAAGACAGGCAUGUGACUGCCUUCUUAACAGUGACCUCACAGGGGACUGUAGGUCCUGGCUUCAGGAGAUCAUGUUGCACUUGGGAAAAAAGCUGCAGCCUACAGCCUCACCAACUGCUACUCCACAUGUGGACCAGCCUCCUUCGUCACUGGCCAUCAAGCCCAACAUCUCUGUCCUGCUGA
rnacentral:lncRNA from 1 species